GACGAACGCUGGCGGCGUGCUUAACACAUGCAAGUCGAACGGUGAAGCGCCUUCCUUUUUGGUGGGUGUGGAUGAGUGGCGAACGGGUGAGUAACACGUGAGUAACCUGCCCCCUUCUUCUGGAUAACCGCAUGAAAGUGUGGCUAAUACGGGAUAUUCUGGGUCUGUCGCAUGAUGGGUCUGGGAAAGAUAUUGUUUCGGUGGGGGAUGGGCUCGCGGCCUAUCAGCUUGUUGGUGGGGUGAUGGCCUACCAAGGCGGUGACGGGUAGCCGGCCUGAGAGGGUGGACGGUCACACUGGGACGGAGACACGGCCCAGACUCCUACGGGAGGCAGCAGUGGGGAAUAUUGCACAAUGGGCGCAAGCCUGAUGCAGCGACGCCGCGUGAGGGAUGGAGGCCUUCGGGUGGUGAACCUCUUUCGCCAGUGAAGCAGGCCUGCCUCGUUUGUGGGUGGGUUGACGGUAGCUGGAUAAGAAGCGCCGGCUAACUACGU
rnacentral:rRNA from 1 species